rnacentral:tRNA from 1 species
GCCUAGGUGGUGGAACUGGGAUACACGACAGAUUUAAAAUCUGUUGACCAUAAUGGUCAUGCGGGUUCGAGUCCCGUCCUGGGCA